rnacentral:rRNA from 1 species
AUGCUUCUCCCUGUUCUUGAUCACACCAACACGCCCAGUGUUGCGCCCACCAGUCACCAUGACCACGUUGCCGACGUCAAACUUGAUGAAGUCAACAAUCUUGUUGGUCUCCAGGUCAAGCUUGAUGGUGUCAUUGGCCUUGAUGAGUGGGUCUGGGUAGCGGAUGGUGCGGCCAUCAUAGGUGUUGAGGUAUGGGAUGCCCUUCUGGCCAAACUGGACAGACCUGACCUUGCAGAGCUUGAACUGCACAUUAAUGAAACAAUCAUCCUCGUCCCUGACAGAGUGAAGGCGGAAGCGACCCUUGGUGUCAUACAGAAGCCUGUAGUUCUCACCAGUCUUGGGAAUGGAAAUGAUGUCUAG